rnacentral:lncRNA from 1 species
CCUUGCUGAAAAUUUUCAGCACUUGAGAUCUUUAACUUCUCAUGCUUGGAACCGCUUCCUCAUCAUCGUGGCUCUGAUACCAACUAUUGGAGCAUGAUCCCGGCUCCUCCCACAGACCUUGGGUGUAGCAGAACCAGCAACGAACAAAUCUGAAGACUUCUGGACUCGAUCAAAGGCCCUUGACGAAAUCAGCCUGGUUGCUGUCUUCUUCGUCAGCCUUUCAUUCCAGAUGAAGAACACCUCUAAGAUCACCUCUAAAAAAUUCAAGAUCUGGUACCCAACUAGACCAGGCCUGGACUGAGGUCUUUCAAUUUAUA